GAUGAACGCUGGCGGCGUGCUUAACACAUGCAAGUCGAACGGAAAGGCCACAGCUUGCUGUGGUACUCGAGUGGCGAACGGGUGAGUAACACGUGGGUGAUCUGCACUGUACUUCGGGAUAAGCUUGGGAAACUGGGUCUAAUACCGGAUAGGAAUUACAUGUGGGUGUGUGGUUGGAAAGCUUUUGCGGUAUGGGAUGAGCUCGCGGCCUAUCGGCUUGUUGGUGGGGUAAUGGCAUACCAAGGCGUCGACGGGUAGCCGGCCUGGGAGGGUGUACGGCCACAUUGGGACUGAGAGACGGCCCAGACUCCUACGGGAGGCAGCAGUGGGGAAUAUUGCGCAAUGGGCGCAAGCCUGAUGCAGCGACGCCGCGUGGGGGAUGACGGCCUUCGGGUUGUAAACUCCUUUCGUCAGGGACGAAGCGAAAGUGACGGUACCUGGAUAAGAAGCACCGGCUAACUACGUG
rnacentral:rRNA from 1 species